rnacentral:lncRNA from 1 species
GGACUUCUCAGAUUUCCGACCCAGAGAAUGGAAGGAUAAUAGCACUUGGCCAGAUCAUGGGGUGGAGGGUUGCUCAGGAGGGCUCCCUCCCCAGCAGCCUUCCCCAGGCCCCAGCAGCUCUGGACCCUAAUGCCUACUUGUCUGUGCCCAGCCUGGCAGAGAGGGAGGGCCUGGUGGCUUCAGUGAAAAUCUAAAUGACCUCCUCAAGUAGGCAGUGGCAAGUCUCCAGGUAGAAGGCCACUGGGUGGAGAGAUUGGAGGCUCAAGUCAGCCAAGCAACUGCUGCCAGGAACAAGUUAAGAUGACCCCCAAGGGUCCCCAGCACUUGUCCCCUUGUCCCUUGGUGGAGCCUCCACCCUAAGCAGAAGACAAAAGUGAAUCUCCAGGACCUGGAAGACCUCAUGGCAAGAAGUCGGAGAUUCCUCUGACAGACAUCUUCUCAAAGUUGCCUACUGCUCCAUCUCUGACGCCCCAAACACGAGACAAGGGGCAACCGAAAGGGCAGUGAAGACUCCCCCAGCAAUCCGCGACUCCGUGCUUGAGGAGAAGCUGAAAUCUUUUCAUCAUCCAAUCGCCAGCAGCUCACUGGAAAGCAGGCUGAAGUUCUGGAAACAAUCGGACUCACGAAAAUCAACAGGGAUGGCUACACAUUAAUUGUCCGAAGUCCAAAAUUCUGCCACUCCUUAAAGGAGGCAGAGGAGAAGGAACUAAAAACCAAGGACAAAAAAGCAACCAAGGUUAGGCAGAGAAGGACUCCAGCGCAAGGAGUAAGACUUCCAGAGGGCGAGCCGUGGCGCCCAGGGCAGAGCGGAGGCCGAGGUUUCUCUGGCAUCCUGUCUCCCACUGGGCAGGCAGGCGCGCUCUCCGGAGGAACACACAUCUUCUUCGGCCCCUCUCUCCGAGGUCUGCUCCAAGAAAAAGAAAACACGUUUAACCAGAGAUAGAGGGUAGAAAGGGCAGCCGGCUCUUAAAACUUGGGCCAUAAAUGUGCUCGAAGGUUGGUUUUGCCCUAAAAGGAAAUAAAAUUUAUGGUUUGUCAGAUAAGUAGAAAG